GUGUUUGUACUAAAUAUGGUUACCAAAUCCAACUCGGAUAAAUAACUAUGUAAAUUUGCUUCAUAAAAUUUAUCCUCCCAAAGUCCAAUAUUUUAGCUUUAAGCAAGAGAUCAAAAUCUUCAAAUAAUUUUAGCCCAAAUCGAGUGUGACGGGGAUGAAAAAAAUUAAAGAUGAUUUUAGUAAAUAGAAUGCUAUGGAAAUUUACUACCUUUCUUAAGCAUCAGGCAAAUAAAGAUGCUGACGGACCUCCUUGGCUUAGUGUACGUUUUUCUUUGAAGUGAAAAAAUGAAAAAGCACCACUGUUUGUUGACAGCCUUUAACACCGAACAUUUUCUAAGGAUGUCAACAAUUACAUUUACAGGCAAUCACUUUCUGCACUAGAGUCAUAACAAUUGAGGCAAACAGGGUUUGUUCCUAUUCGUGUUUCAAAUUGGAAUCCCGCAAUUAAUUAAAUCUGUUGCCAAUUCUAUUCCUGUUUACCCAAUGGCAUGUUUCUCUUUCCCUAAGAAAACAUGUCAGGAUAGUUUGGUAUCUGAUUUUUGGUGGGGUCAGAAAGCCAAUGAUUGUAAUAAAAUUCAUUAGAAAAAUUGGGAAAGAAUGACACAAUCAAAAUGGGAAGGGGGCAUGUGUUUUAGGAACUUCCAAUGUUUUAAUGAAGCUUUACUUGCCAAGACUGCUUGGAGAAUGAUCUAGCGGCCUGAUGAAUUUUGGUGCGGGGUCCUUAAAGGGAGAUAUUUUCCUACUUAUUCCAUUUUGAAUGAUGUAAAAGGAAAUAAGGCUUCAUGGGUUGGUCUAGUAUCUUGAAAUGGCGUGAUUUAUUAUUGAAAGGGGCUAUUUGGAGGAUUAGGGAUGGUAUGGAUGUAAGGGUAUGGUAUGAUAGGUGGAUUCUUGGGUUGGAAAGUGGUACGUUGAGUAGGAAAAUUUGAUUGAGGAUGAGAAGAAGAUUAAGGUAGCUGACCUUAUGAGAGAUGAUCAAUGGGAUUUGUCCUUAUUCAGUGGUUGUAUUUCUGAUGCUGAAUUUGAUUUUAUUUUGCAGAUUUUCUUCUCCCAGCAUCAUCUCUCGGAUAAAUUGAUUUGGCAACAUAUGAGAAAUGGUUCUUAUUCAGUCAAGUGACUCAAGUCGGGCUGCCCCUUUGCCUUGCAUCAAUUCAAUUCUACUCCUUCUAGUAAGCCGUCUUGGUCCUUCUGAUUAUCUCGGCAUGUAUGGAAGAGUGUUCGGAACUUGCAGGCCCCUCCUAAGAUUCUGCACUUUGUGUGGAGGGUGUUGAAUGGUGCUCUUGCUACUAAGGAUGCACUAUUCAAGAGGAAGUGUUGUACUUCACCUACUUGUCCUAUAUGUGGGCGUGAUGCUAAAAUUACUGAGCAUUUAUUGCUCUUAUGUUCAUGGGUAAAACACUGCUGGUUUGGAUGUUCAUUGAGCUUUCUGAUUGAUAAGAAUAAUGUUCGAAGUAUUGAGGAAUGGUGGGCAGACUUGCUUGUGGGAAGAAAGGACUUAAUGAGUUUGACAAGAGUUUCUUGGCUUUUUUGGGUUGGGAAAUUUGGAAGGAACGAUGUGAGAUGGUGUUUACUGGCAGAAAUGUUAAUGCAAGGAGGGUGGUUGACAAAGCUUCAUGGGCCGCGGAGGAAUUUUGGAAAACUGAGAAGUCAUGUCUUGUUUCUGGUCAAGUUGGCUUUGCUUCUCGGAGAAAUAAGUCUCUUUCUGAGAUCCGUUGCAGGUUAUGAUUGGAAGUAUCAAACGCUGCUGCUGGAUUGUUUUAAUGCUCGAGUCUCAGCUAGGUAUUUUCUUUUCCUUGAUUAACCGUCAAGGUAAUACUGCUGUUGAUAACUUGGCAGCUAAGUGUGUGUUGGAGAUGUACCCCAACGGGUGGAUUGUGGAUAUUCACCAUCGCCUUUGUCCAUGUUGAUGUUGGCUGACGUAAGAAGUUUCAUGAAAUCUAGUGGUGUAGUGGAUGGCUUGUGGAAUCGAGAACGAAUAGGUUGAGGAUCUGUUAUUUUGAUGACUGUUCGUUUUCUGGUUUUGUUUUGUUAAUAGACUGGAUUCUUGGUUUAUUUUGUUUUCCUAGGUUGUAUGCUUGGUUUGCUUCUAGUUUUUGUGUUUUUUUUUUUAUUAUUAGUGUGUGUAUUAACUCUCUUUCUUUUGUGAUUAAUAAAAUGGGCUCUC